rnacentral:rRNA from 1 species
UACGUAGGGGGCAAGCGUUAUCCGGAUUUACUGGGUGUAAAGGGAGCGCAGACGGCUGUGCAAGCCAGAUGUGAAAGCCCGGGGCUCAACCCCGGGACUGCAUUUGGAACUGUGUAGCUGGAGUGUCGGAGAGGCAGGCGGAAUUCCUAGUGUAGCGGUGAAAUGCGUAGAUAUUAGGAGGAACACCAGUGGCGAAGGCGGCCUGCUGGACGAUGACUGACGUUGAGGCUCGAAAGCGUGGGGAGCAAACAGG